GACGAACGCUGGCGGCGUGCUUAACACAUGCAAGUCGAGCGGAAAGGCCCUUCGGGGUACUCGAGCGGCGAACGGGUGAGUAACACGUGAGUAACCUGCCCCAGGCUUUGGGAUAACCCUCGGAAACGGGGGCUAAUACCGAAUAUUCAUGCGCGGCGGCAUCGCUGGGUGUGGAAAGUUUUUCGGCUUGGGAUGGGCUCGCGGCCUAUCAGCUUGUUGGUGGGGUGAUGGCCUACCAAGGCGACGACGGGUAGCUGGUCUGAGAGGAUGGCCAGCCACAUUGGGACUGAGAGACGGCCCAGACUCCUACGGGAGGCAGCAGUGGGGAAUCUUGCGCAAUGGCCGAAAGGCUGACGCAGCGACGCCGCGU
rnacentral:rRNA from 1 species